rnacentral:rRNA from 1 species
AUUGAACGCUGGCGGCGUGCCUAACACAUGCAAGUCGAGCGGUAACAGGUGUAGCAAUACAUGCUGACGAGCGGCGAACGGGUGAGUAAUGCUUUGGAAUCUUCCCAGUAGUGGGGAAUAACCAGUCGAAAGAUUGGCUAAUACCGCAUACGUCUGUAAAGGGAAAGCGGGGGCUCGUAAGACCUCGCGCUAUUGGAUGAGCCAAGGUCGGAUUAGCUAGUUGGUGGGGUAAUGGCCUACCAAGGCGACAAUCCGUAGCUGGUCUGAGAGGACGACCAGCCACACCGGAACUGAGACACGGUCCGGACUCCUACGGGAGGCAGCAGUGGGGAAUAUUGGACAAUGGGGGAAACCCUGAUCCAGCGACGCCGCGUGUGUGAAGAAGGCCUGCGGGUUGUAAAGCACUUUUAGUGGGGACAAAAAGCUACGGAUUAAUACUCUGUGGUCUUGAUUUAACCCAAAGAAAAAGCACCGGCUAACUCUGUGCCAGCAGCCGCGGUAAUACAGAGGGUGCGAGCGUUAAUCGGAAUUACUGGGCGUAAAGCGCGCGUAGACGGUUUUGUAAGUCAGAUGUGAAAUCCCUGGGCUCAACCUGGGAACUGCAUUUGAAACUGCAUGGCUAGAGUAUCGAAGAGGGAAGUGGAAUUUCCGGUGUAGCGGUGAAAUGCGUAGAUAUCGGAAGGAACACCAGUGGCGAAAGCGACUUCCUGGUCGAGUACUGACGUUCAUGUGCGAAAGCGUGGGGAGCAAACAGGAUUAGAUACCCUGGUAGUCCACGCCAUAAACGAUGACAACUAGAUGUUGGGAGGGUCUGCCUCUCGGUGUCGCAGCUAACGCGUUAAGUUGUCCGCCUGGGGAGUACGGCCGCAAGGUUG